AGUUUUUGUUUAUGUGGGUUCUAUCUAACUAUAAUUAUGCUAUUACAAGUUAAAAUUGAGAAAUAAUUGUGAGAUUCCUUUUAAACUGAAGUAUGAUGUACACAGUAAGAUUCAACUAUAUUUGGUUCUGUGAAUUCUGGCGAAUGCAUAGUCCUGUGACCACUACCACAAUCAAUACCAUAAUAUAGAACCUUCGCACAACCUCCCCCCACCCCAAAAUUACCUCCUGUCCCUCUAUAGUCCAGUCUACCACCCACCUCCAGCCCUUGGCAACCAUUGACCAAGAGUGAAAAAAGUUUUAAAAUCCAAAAAUACCAGAUGAUUUUGCCCAACUGUAGGCUAAUGUAAGUGUUCUGUUCAUUAAAGGGAGGCUAGGCUAAGUUGCGAUGUUCAGAAGGGUCGAUGCAUUAAAUGCAUUUUUGACCUAUGAUGAUGGUUUAUGGGAACGUAACAGCAUCACAGUUUACGGAAGAUCUGUACUCCUCAUUCCAUGAAGGUAACAAUGCCUGCAGCCUGGCCCCAUGCUCCUGCUCUAAACAGCAUGAGUGUGGCUGUCAUUGACUGAUAGAAGUUCUUAAAAAUAAAGAUAUAUUACUAAUGUAUAAUGACAACGCUGCUGCCAAGAACCAGGCACUGCCUGCUCUAACAUCCAUCAGGGAGAUCAAGGAUUUGCAGCAUCUGGAAGAUCACAAGGUCAUCCGUCAGAGCCUUACGCAUCUCUCAGCUGCUGGGAUUAUUUUGCAGUUUUCAGGGGGUGUACCUCAAAAGUCUCCAGAGAGCAGAGAGGGAAUCUAAAUGUGAAGCUUGCUGUUGGCUGACUGUAGCCUUGACAUUGCCAGGCAAGCUGCUUGGAGGUCCCCGGUGCUAGUGGCCAGAGAAAAACGCGGACCUGAUGGUGGAGGAACACUGCUUCCCUCUUUCCCAAGAAGUCAUGGCCCUGUUCUGUGAAAUCUCUCCAAAUUUUAUUAAUAUUAAAAAUUACCAUUUUUUAAAAAAGAACAGCUCUGUUACAACGUAAGUACAUACCACACAAUUUACGCUUUUGAAGCAUGUAAUUUAAUGAUCAGUUGAUGAACAUUUGGGUUGUUUCCACUUUCUGAUAUUAUAAAUAAUGAUACUGUGCAAGUUUCGUGUGCACUGCAUUCUCAUUUUUUAUGGGCAUAUGUCUAUAAGUGGUCUUAACUUAUUUUAAUUUAACUCAGUGUUUAAAUUUUUGAGAAACCACCAAACUUGUUUUCCAC
rnacentral:lncRNA from 1 species